GACGAACGCUGGCGGCGUGCUUAACACAUGCAAGUCGAACGGAAAGGCCCUGCUUUUGUGGGGUGCUCGACUGGCGAACGGGUGAGUAACGCGUGAGUAACCUUCCCUUGACUUUGGGAUAACUUCAAGAAACUGGGGCUCAUCCCGGAUAGGAGCUCCUGCUGCAUGGUGGGGGUUGGAAAGUUUGGGCGGAUGGGGAUGGACUCGCGCCUUAUCAGCUUGUUGGUGGGGUAGUGGCUUACCAAGGCUUUGACGGGUAGCCGUCCUGAGAGGGUGACCGGCCACGUUGGGACGGAGCUGCGGCCCAGACUCCUACGGGAGGCAGCAGUGGGGUAUAUUGCACAAUGGGCGGAAGCCUGAUGCAGCAAAGCCGCGUGCGGGAUGACGGCCUUCGGGUUGGAAACCGCUUUCGCCUGUGACGAAGAGAGAGUGACGGUAAUGGGUAAAGAAGCACCGGCUAACUACGUG
rnacentral:rRNA from 1 species